CUGACGAGCGGCGGACGGGUGAGUAAUGCAUAGGAAUCUGCCCGAUAGUGGGGGAUAACCUGGGGAAACCCAGGCUAAUACCGCAUACGUCCUACGGGAGAAAGGGGGCUCCGGCUCCCGCUAUUGGAUGAGCCUAUGUCGGAUUAGCUAGUUGGUAAGGUAAUGGCUUACCAAGGCAACGAUCCGUAGCUGGUCUGAGAGGAUGAUCAGCCACAUCGGGACUGAGACACGGCCCGAACUCCUACGGGAGGCAGCAGUGGGGAAUAUUGGACAAUGGGGGCAACCCUGAUCCAGCCAUGCCGCGUGUGUGAAGAAGGCCCUCGGGUUGUAAAGCACUUUCAGCGAGGAAGAACGCCUAUCGGUUAAUACCCGGUAGGAAAGACAUCACUCGCAGAAGAAGCACCGGCUAACUCCGUGCCAGCAGCCGCGGUAAUACGGAGGGUGCAAGCGUUAAUCGGAAUUACUGGGCGUAAAGCGCGCGUAGGUGGCUUGAUAAGCCGGUUGUGAAAGCCCCGGGCUCAACCUGGGAACGGCAUCCGGAACUGUCAGGCUAGAGUGCAGGAGAGGAAGGUAGAAUUCCCGGUGUAGCGGUGAAAUGCGUAGAGAUCGGGAGGAAUACCAGUGGCGAAGGCGGCCUUCUGGACUGACACUGACACUGAGGUGCGAAAGCGUGGGUAGCAAACAGGAUUAGAUACCCUGGUAGUCCACGCCGUAAACGAUGUCGACCAGCCGUUGGGUGCCUAGAGCACUUUGUGGCGAAGUUAACGCGAUAAGUCGACCGCCUGGGGAGUACGGCCGCAAGGUUAAAACUCAAAUGAAUUGACGGGGGCCCGCACAAGCGGUGGAGCAUGUGGUUUAAUUCGAUGCAACGCGAAGAACCUUACCUACCCUUGACAUCUACAGAAGCCGGAAGAGAUUCUGGUGUGCCUUCGGGAACUGUAAGACAGGUGCUGCAUGGCUGUCGUCAGCUCGUGUUGUGAAAUGUUGGGUUAAGUCCCGUAACGAGCGCAACCCUUGUCCUUAUUUGCCAGCGAGUAAUGUCGGGAACUCUAAGGAGACUGCCGGUGACAAACCGGAGGAAGGUGGGGACGACGUCAAGUCAUCAUGGCCCUUACGGGUAGGGCUACACACGUGCUACAAUGGCCGGUACAAAGGGCUGCGAGCUCGCGAGAGUCAGCGAAUCCCUUAAAGCCGGUCUCAGUCCGGAUCGGGAGUCUGCAACUCGGAACUCCGUGGAAGUCGGAAUCGCUAGGAAUC
rnacentral:rRNA from 2 species